rnacentral:rRNA from 1 species
GGGUUGUGAGGUUAAGCGACUAAGCGUACACGGUGGAUGCCCUGGCAGUCAGAGGCGAUGAAGGGCGUGCUAAUCUGCGAUAAGCGCCGGUAAGGUGAUAUGAACCGUUAUAACCGGCGAUACCCGAAUGGGGAAACCCAGUGUGAUUCGUCACACUAUCAUUAACUGAAUCCAUAGGUUAAUGAGGCGAACCG